GGAUUCAAGAAAACAUUACUUGAAGCUGAAUUUAAUUUCUCUAAUAGAUAUGUUUUACAGCUUUUUAUCCAAAAAGGUUAUGUAAUUUUCAUACCAUUAUUAUUUCAUUUUUUCCCUCACCUUCUCCCCAUCAAAAAAUAAAAUGUUCUUGCUUAUAUCAGCAUUCUUGUCAUAAAACCUGUUUGUUUUAGAAAGGUUUAAAUCAUGUUUUUCAUUUGAUAAGAUAAUGUCAGAUACAAUGGCCAGAUUUGUCUAAUGUAAGGUACAGGAUGAGGUUUGUGUCUGAGAACAAAGAGGUUAUCCCACAGGGGGUCAAGACUCCCCACACCUUUGGCAAGCUUCUGACAUCAACCCCUUGGGCUACAUGGACUAGUCCACUUUUACUUGUGGGUGGUGACUAAUGUACAACCCUUAUAUUGUUGGUGGACUUUGCUAGAUCAUUAGUGAAUGGAUCGGUCUAAUCCAAUUUAGGGAGUUAAGGGUGUUAUUUUGCAAUACCUAUCUGUUAUCUAAUGGACUCUACCUAAUAGGUCCAAAUUUCAAAACACAGUUAACCUGGUCAGUGGUUUUUGUUGAUGGAGUCUUGCAGAUGAUAACCAGUUACUAAUCUAGAAUUUUGCAGCAGAUGGAUGAAGUGAACGCUGAACCAAUGUGUCAGAAUGCAUAUGUUAGAUUAGAGAAGAGCUGGUUCUGAACAUGUGGAUCUCACAGAAUCCUAUGCUGGUAUCCAGAAGAUGAUGCACUGUGGAACUGACCAGUCAAUCUGGUCAAUAAUAGGAAGCUAUAAUCCAUAAGGAACCACAGAUGAUUUCAGGCCACUCUUAGGCUUCCAAUCACUGACAUCCGUCAUCCUUGGAGUCAGACAUCCAGUACAGUCACCAAAGGUUCGAUGACAUCACAUGAGUCUGGGAAAAAUCCGAUCAACCUGCUUCUGGUAUCAUCGUUGGACCUACAAUGCCCGCAAUGGACAUUCCAGUAUUGACUGAUCAACUUCAGAAUUCAAAGUCUAGUCUGUGGAUGAACAGCACAUGUAAAAUGCUGGAACCGUACUGGGGAGCGAAGUUGUGCAGCAGGGGCGAUCGAUAAACGGCAAACAUGGUCAAAGAUGCACCUUGAAAAUCUCCAAACAGGGUAUAUGUUCAUCUUUCAGUCGGGUCUACAAGACGAAAAAAAUAUCUGAAAAUGACAGAAAAUUAAAGACACACGUCCAAAAAAAUUCCACCCAGAACCAAUGCUUUUUGUCUAGGACACGUCCUAAACUGCGAUAGACAACAAGGAAGAGUACCCCGGACACCAUGUCUUGGCCAGGCGUCCAAACCUGAAGCUGUCUGAUCAGAACUGAACAUGUACACUAGAAAUGUCGUCGAGGAAGACUACAGGAACAAAGAUGGCGGAGGUGAGGGCGCGAAAAUGACAUCCUAUGACAACGCACCCCGAGACAACGCACCUCACGGGAACGCACUCAAGUAAUAGAGACAAUUUCUAAACUUUAUACACUUCGUGGUGAAUGACGGGUUUUUAACAAGACCAUACGAGGUUGUAUAUCUUGUAUAGCCGAGAUAUCAUACUAUAGAAUAGACACUACCAUUAUGAAAUGAGCUCAAUCCUUGUCGAAUGCAUCAUUUUUUAGGAAAAAUCUUCCUCGUAUUCAUUAUGUAUAUUUUGUAAAAAUGUGUUAUGCAAUAUUUUCUAGAAACCAAGACUCAGUAUUAAUGUGAAAAUUUCCCUUACCAUUCAAUGCAAAGUUUCCAAGCGCACACAUUUCCGAGAGCCCAGUGUUUCCUGUAAAUCCUUAGGACUACAUCCUAGUGGUUACAAAACUCUGGGAAAACUAAAAGUCUUGUACCGAUAACUGCAUUUUUGAUGAAUUCGGGUAGCGUUGCGCACGCGCAAACGAUUCUUUCAAUAUUUUCAAGAAACCCAAAGAACUUUUAGGGAAAUCAAACUUGAAAAACUUUUUAGAAGUCGAAAUAUCCAACGCGUUCAAUUUUUAAGUUAAGAAGUAAAAGAUUUCCUUGAAGAAACAAUCCCGAAAUCAUAUCAUAUGAUGUGAAAUCCAUGUGUUUGUUGAAAUACGUCUGCGCAUGCGGGGCCUCCCUUGUUGUUUGUGCAUGUACGACCCACAAGAUCUUCAACACGAGAACACCAUCCCUGUUUUUUCACUUCCAAAAUUAUUCAAAUGAGAUCGGAAAAUUUUCCACGCAAGUUUAAAACAAGUAUCGGCCAUAUUUGAUUUCUUGCACAUGUGUAUAUAGAUACUUGUGAAAACUCCUUCCUGGUAAAUGAGAACAGGUACAAUGUGUCACCGAUGGUCUGUCCAUUCCUUCUACAUUCCUUACGACACACAAACUAAAGCUUAAAUUCAAUCACGCAUGCGCAUGCAUCCCUCUUACGUUUGUAAAUGUUGCAAGUAAUGUCGUUGUUGUAUAGCUAGUGAACUCCGUCUGCCUAUACCGAGAGGGAAGGUAUCGCUAUGUGAUGUGCAUGCGCGGCGUCACCAAAAACCAGACAAAAAUUCACCUUCAUAUAUAUGUGUGUGUAUAUAUAUAUAAAAAUGGCCAUAAUCAUUUACACAAUCAGCAGAGUCAUGAAAUACCUUCAAGAACCGAUCCUCAAAAUUAAAAUCCGUGUGCAAAGCACUGAAUGUCUCCUUGAUACAUCCAUGUUUCGGGAGAAAUCCGAUCAUUAGGUAUUCAUGUAUCGGUCCUGUGUUGGCAGCCAUAUUGCCGGUUGGACUAACACAUGUUUUGUCUAGGUUCUGUACAAAUCGUGUAAAAUUCCUGUCCAGAAAAGUUUAGGUAAUCGAUCCGUGAAUUAUCCAUCUGUAGAAGGACACUUGUGUAACCAACCUGCACCGAAAUAUCCGAGAGAGACACUACAUGAGUGCAUCCCAACAUUUCUCUCGCACCAAUAUGGCGACCCGCCUCUGUUCCCUCCUAAUGACACGAGGUGUACAUGGCGGGAAUUGUUGAUAGUUGUAUAUACAGAAGACAAAAGUUGAAAUUGAAGAAUUUGGCAUACAUUAUCACAUAUGUGCAGCAUGCACUGCCCGAGAGUAGUAAUAUGGAUAUAUGCUAAUCAGUUUUUGUGUGAUGGAUAUGUACGUACAGGGAAGGUCACCGCGACAACCAAGGUAAGCCCCAUCUCUCACAGCCCCUGGCCGCGCUUUCUCUGCCAUAUAGACAUAAUACGGGGACAAAUGCAUCAUGGCCCAUGUAUGCACAAAUCUCCAAUGCACCCUUGUAGUUUUAACAAACAGAAGCGAGAAAAUACCAAGUUCAUAUGCAUGGUUACUAGUCAUAUGAACAACCAUAUUCAAAUCUUUUCUAUUCAAACACGCAAAAAAAUUAUCUACAAUACACCUUGCAAGAGGGUGACCCAGACACGCCAAAUGUUUAAAUUGAGUCUGCAUUUUCCCAGAUUUUUUUUAUCUUUGUAUAGAGGUGUACAUAAGUGUGCGUCUGGUUGUUGGCCGGUCGACAGCUGAGCACAUGUUACAUGGCUAUGUGUCCCGCCACACUCCACUUCACACUGCCUGCUACUAAAGCUAUAGGUAAAAAGUGCACACAACGUGCAGACGACAGAUUACACAAUGACAUGGUGUGCACACACUUGCUAGUUACCUGAUAGACAUACCAUGACAUUCAGCCUUGAACCGCUUCCGCAGACAGACAGAACCCACCAGACAACGCUACCAACCUCCUCCCAGAACCGGUGUAUUCUGAACAAACCUCCCUCCCAGUCCUCUUCCCCUACCACUGCAUGCGUGCAGCAGAGUCCACAAUACACUACACAAGAUGGUCGUAGGAACAUCCGUAGCUACGCCGGCAAACGUGGGGCAUGCACCAAAAUAUUCCUCAUGUGACAAAGGCAUCAACAUGCCCGCGGUAACAAAAUGUGCAUAAUGGUCGCACCCUGUGCAUAUGACAGUGGCGCUGAUGUACCCAUAUUUUGGCGGGAUAAGAUGCGCAGAACAUGUGCUUUCUUAUCCAGACACUAAGUGCGCGCAUGCGCUUUUUAACAUUUCUUACCUUGUUUUUUUUAAAUUUUCUACAUCUUUUUUUUUCUCAUUUUCAAUAGCUGUAUAUAGACCAGGUGUUAAUGAACUAGAGCAACAACCUGUUCGAUCAGUGAAACUUUCGAUUGACUUUCAACAACCUUACCCCCUUCUAAUCUUCAAACAGAACAAUAUCUGUGGCGGCCAUUUUGCUGAGCUCAACCUGAAACGCGAUCGGUGGUUGUGGUUGUUCGUCACGUCGUACAAAUUCCACAUUGAGUCACAUAACUCCACAUUUGCACAGCGGUUAAAAUGAUAUGCAUCCAAAAACUUGUACACAAAAGUUUCCCACAGACGCCUUUGUUAUGAAAGUGCAGCACUUCGUAAUACAAGCACACCAAGUAUUUCUGCUUCUGACACAUAAAUGCCCUCGACCAGCCUAGGAAGAAUUCAAUAUGUCCUGUGUAUACUACAUACAUGUAGUCUUCCAAACGAUUAUCGCGCACACUGCUCGCUGCAUAGUCUUACUAAAUCUCACUCCGAAAAAAACUUUUAAUGACUCAAAAGAUUGAACAAUACUGCAAAGAGCACAUGUGUAUAACCCAGAGACUUAUGACUACAGGCAGUUUGUAUCGAGAGAAGACGCUAAUAGCCAGAGAGCUCAGAAAACAAGGGGAACAACUCAUGUCGGCCUAGACAAAAAUCUGUCCUGUCCCUGUACAGGAAACAAGAACAGUCAUCCCAUCAGCUACACAAACAGUAUAACUACCAGUCCUUUCAAACAACUUGUGAGGUUUUUACCACAAGGAAAGUAUUUUUAGCCUGACUGUCUACAAUAUGUGGUAACAGAUGUACUAUAUAAAUGCAAAAAUGUCUGCACCUUAGAAAUUGUCCCCCCAAACACACUACAUACGGUUAAGUAGAGCACCGUGUUAAGAUUAUUAUGUCAUAGUUAACUUCACUGCUAUCUCAACUCUAGUUAAAACACCUUCACACACACAACACACACACACAAGCGAUCUGCAUGUCACAUUACACCCAAAUAUAUUCUACCACGCUAUGUAGCCAAGCCGCAACCAUGGACUGCAUACAUACAUACCAUGUGACUCAAUAGUCAACCCCAGUGUAAAAUUGCUCAACCAUAUGUGAGGUAAUCACACCGAAAUUAGGCCAAUUCAAAAUUUAAAUUUGAUGGUCGUCUGUUAGCUACCUGUGUGUUUACAGCCAACGGUAGCACUGACAGAGUGUACAAGUAGUUAUGUACCGUAUCUAGUGCACAGCAUUUGAAUAUAAGACAGUGUUAGUCUGUACCGGCGCCCCAGACGUGGUGAGUCAGGUCCCCCACCCCGGUAACCUUACCAGCAAACACCUACUAGGUUCUCAGGUCAGUGUGCAUAUCAUUAGAUUGUGCACACAUAUCACUGCACUAGGUACCGCCACACAGACGCACAUAGCCCAUUGAAUUAGAAUCCCUCACCGCUAUUGGUGGAAUGGUGACGGUCACACCCAGAGUGUGCAGACUGUAAAAUAAGAUGAUCCGUUGUCUGGCGAGUGGUAGCGAUGCACUAUGAAUUAACACACUUGUAAACCACAGACUGUGACUGCCGUUGAGGUAGGAUCUACUCUCAUUCACCUUGCAUUUGUAGCCAUUCUUCUCUGGCUAUACAAGCUUCUGUGCUGAUGGAUUUCGCCAUUUUUUCCUACCGUCUGCCUGGAUGUGUUGUAUAGUGUCUCCCUAUCUCCCUCGUCAGUACUGGAUCAUAACAAAUUGACCUCCAAACAGGAGAGUUCAACGGCAGAUUUUGCUAACGGUUUUUUGGCGCGAAGGUGUGGUGGCGCGCGAAAGUUCAAAAACUGUGCACAUUGCAUAUUUUUGAGAUGGUUGUACAUAGGAACACCAAUUCUGUACACCAUUAUGGAGUGUAUUAACAGUAUCAAACUUUACAGACAAGUGAAGUUUUUGGAGACAUUCCGGGCCGCCACUUUACAGUUGUGUAACACUGUGGAACAGUAGCUGUCUGGGUUAUGGUGAUGCACUUGAAUAGUCUACACACAGGAAAUUUUGCUUUCACGCUCAGGUUCAUCUCAAGUUGUCCGGGAACAUACAAAGCUUUGUUUUGAUGUUUCAGAGGCCAGUGCUUAUGUAUGUAGUGCGAAGUUUACAUAACGGUUUCAAUGUGUACCUGUUACCAUUGUCUAUCCCGGAUAUAGAUUAACAAAAUGUAACCAUUUACAUAUGUUACCGAAACAAAUAUUUAAGUUUCAUCUGCACUUAAGAAAUCUUUAAUUUAAACUUUUUUUUAAAUCAAAGUUUCAUGAUUAAUUGUUGGUUUUUUUUGUUGUUGUUGUUUUUUUGUUUAGAAGUUAACAGUGAAAUAAUCUAAUGUUCCAAUUUUUCAUAAACUGUAGAAAGCAAUGUUGAAAUAUAAACAGAUAAUGAUUUUAAGCUUCAGUACAGUCAUAAUGUUUUUAAUGCGGUUAUUUAUCUUCUACACUAUAUAAAGAAACAAAAUAGGUGAUUUAUCAAAUUUUUAUUAUACUCAUUUUAUCAAAUAUUUAACCCCUGCAAAGCUUGUGUUUUGUGUGAUAUUCUGUUCAAUUUUUGUGUGCUAAAGUUCCUAAUGAUGUGAGAUUCUGUUCAAUGUUUGUGCGCUAAAGUUCUUGAUGUGAGAUUUUUUGUUCAAUUUUUAUGUGUUAAAGUUGUUUUUGAUGUGAGAUUUUGUUCAAUUUUUAUGUGCUGAAGUUGUUUGAUGUGAGAUUCUGUUCAAUUUUUAUGUGCUUAAGUUGUUUGAUGUGAGAUUCUGUUCAAUUUUUAUGUGCUAAAAUUGUUUCUGAAGCAAGAUUUUGUUCAAUUCUUAUGUGCUCAAGCUCCCGAUGAUGUGAGAUUCUGUUAAUUUUUUGUGUGCUUAAGUUUAUUUUUUAUGACACAACAAGAUAAACUUUUUUACUUGAUGAUUUUUUCUAUAAAAAAUGUGAUAAAGUUUUAAAGAUGAUAAAUUUCCAUGUGAAUUGUGAUGUAUUUAAACCGUUUACUCCAUUUUCCUAGCUAUACAAUCAGUUCCUUCAAAUAUUAAAACUUUUAAAAGUUUGUAGACUGGAAAAAAAGUUUCUCAAUGAACCAAACUCAGUGAUUGAGUGAUUAGGCUUAGCCUCUUUGCCUAUUCUAUUUGUGUAUCAACUUGAAUACAAUUUGCUGAAUUGAAUUUCAAUAAAAUAAAAUGUUCAUUCUUUAAACAUU